ACGCUCGACACCUACGGGAGGAGCAGUGGGGAAUAUUGCACAAUGGGGGAAACCCUGAUGCAGCAACGCCGCGUGAAGGAAGACGGUUUUCGGAUUGUAAACUUCUGUUCUUAGUGAAGAUAGUGACGGUAGCUAAGGAGCAAGCCACGGCUAACUACGUGCCUGCAGCCGCGGUAAUCUGAGGCGGGCUGGCAAGGC
rnacentral:rRNA from 1 species